rnacentral:tRNA from 1 species
GUCGCCGUGGCUGAGUGGUAAAGCGCUUGGCUUCCAAACCGGUAGUUCCGGGUUCGACCCUGGUGAAGACU